rnacentral:snRNA from 1 species
AGGUUUGCACAGAGGCAGAGUCAUAGUCGAUGAGGUUUAUCUGAGGCAUGAUUAUUGCUAAUUGAAAAAAAAAGU